AUCACUGUGACUGGUAAAGAGUUUUGUUCAUUGCAGGUGAUUUGCAGUUCAUAAGAAGAUUUUAAUAAAAUUGGAAGAAAUUACUAAGGUAUCAUAAGGAGACCAAACUGUAUUUGCACCAGCAGUGCAGUCAGGACAGCAACGUGAGCAGCUGAGGACUGGCACCCCCUUCAGAAAGCAGACAAUUGCAGCUGGUAAUCCCCUGAACUGCCACUGUAGGGUUUCAUAAAGCUCAUAAAGCUUCUCUGGCAGAGCCUUUCAUGCUCUACCACCUUAAAAGGUAACUAAGAAGUGUUAAUAAUAUUUAUGUAUGAAGUCAAAGUCUCUGUUGGUGCCAUGAGCACUUUGUUAUGCACAAGAAAUACAUUAAUGUUUCUGUCUAGAACCACAAGCAAAAUUCUUUGUUGACCAGGAGGAAAUUUUCAUAGUCUAUUUGAAUAAUAUCCCCUUAAUUAGAAUCAGAAAACGCAGGACUAUUGGACUUUAUAAUCAAUCAUCUGGUGAUAACGCAAAGAUUUCCCAAUGUCCCUUGGACAAACCACUUACAAAAACAGGCUUGUAUUUUUAAACAGAAAUUGGAUUUGAAAGAGAUGUAGCAUAAAGGUACUUUAUAGUCUUUGCGCAUUAUAAAGUGUUUCAGUGGUGGGAAUAAUUUUGGCUCAUUUUUGCUUGCUGUUGCUUUCCACAGGGAGCCCACAGGGAACCUAUGAGAUUUUUAUAAGAGGCCUGUGAAAAAUUACCUGUGAAAAUUCAGGGAGUUUUGAUUUGCUUUGUAAAGCUAUGCUCCUCCACUGGGACAAAAAAGAAAACUAGGAGCCUGCAAACUAGUAUAGAAGUAUACGUUUGUGCUGUAGAUGACUGCAUACUAACACCUCUGUGAUCAAGCACAUGCUUUUGCCCACCGUGAUUUUAUUAAUCUUCUGAGUUCUCAGGUAGAUCUCUCAGUGAUCUGAAUUCUUGGGAUGUCAACAAAAAAACCCUCAAAUUUAUUUAAGGAAUAUAUAGGGUUUAAAUAGAUAUAUAAAUUGAGAAACAAAUUAGAGUUAUAAUGGUUUUAAGUAAACACACAUACACACAAAAUCCCAAAACAAACAAACAAAUAAAACCAGUCUCCAAACUGAACAAGCUGUCUUUCAUUCUCUUGUCUAAUUAAAUUUUUUGAGAACUACCAUUUUGAGAAGCAUAUGUGGCACAGACUUCCUAGUCAUUUUGGGAAUGAGUUAGAUAUGUGUCUGCAUAUUAUUCAAAUUCCAGCUGAUUGAGACGCUGCAUAUACUUGAAGUUCUCUGCAAUAUUUGUGUGGUUAAUCAUGAACAGCAAAAGUAGCUCGGAACUUUUAGAUAAAAUGAUUUUCAUCCAAAAACCCACCUAAGCCAAGACUUGGUAGGAAGUGGAUCAAAAAAAUUUUCAAAGCACUGAAAACUGAAUUUGAUAAAAACGCAUUUUUAACACUUCAAAGAUUUUGUUCUAUCAAAAAUGGCUUUUAGUUACAAAAAAUACACUAAUUCUAGUACAAUCCAAAUGUUCUUAGAAAACCUGAAAGAAAUAUUGCCAUUGACUCUUUUGACAUUACUAUUAUUUUCAGUUCUGAAACUUUGUCUAGGUUUUAAUUUCUAAUAUCUUUUUUUUUUUUCCUCACAGUUUGAGAAAGGGAUCUUUUCACAAGAUGGGAAACAAUCUAAAUCCAGUCCUAAUUCAGUCCCAUAUGUUACACAGGAGUUGGUAUAGCUUAGUUGGUAGAAAGAAUAAAGGAAAACCACACAAGAGCCUCUGGGGAAAGAAGAAAAAAAAAAAAAAAAAAAAAAAA